rnacentral:rRNA from 1 species
AUUGAACGCUGGCGGCAGGCCUAACACAUGCAAGUCGAGCGGAGCGGCGGAAGGGUGAGUAAUGCCUAGGAAUCUGCCUGGUAGUGGGGGAUAACGUCCGGAAACGGGCGCUAAUACAGCAUACUAUCAGAUGAGCCUAGGUCGGAUUAGCUAGUUGGUGGGGUAAAGGCCUACCAAGGCGACGAUCCGUAACUGGUCUGAGAGGAUGAUCAGUCACACUGGAACGUAGACACGGUCCAGACUCCUACGGGAGGCAGCAGUGGGGAAUAUUCGGCAAUGGGCGAAAGCCUGAUCGAGCCAGGCCGCGUGUGUGAAGAAGGUCUUCGGAUUGUAAAGCUCUUUUAGUUGGGAGGCGUUACCAACAGAAUAAGCACCGGCUAACUUCGUGCCAGCAGCCGCGGUAAUUC